rnacentral:tRNA from 1 species
GCGGAAGUGCUGAAAUUGGUAGACAGGCUAGAUUCAGGAUCUAGUGGUCGUAAGACCGUGAGGGUUCAAGUCCCUCCUUCCGCACCA